rnacentral:rRNA from 1 species
GACGAACGCUGGCGGCGUGCCUAAUACAUGCAAGUCGAGCGAGCUUGCCUAGAUGUAUUUGGUGCUUGCACCAGAUGAAACGAGAUACAAGCGAGCGGCGGACGGGUGAGUAACACGUGGGUAACCUGCCCAAGAGACUGGGAUAACACCUGGAAACAGAUGCUAAUACCGUAUAACAACACUAGACGCAUUUCUUGAGAUUAAAAGAUGGAUCUGCUCUCCCUCUUGGAUGGGCCUGCGGUGCAUUAGCUAGUUGGUAAGGCAACGGCUUACCAAGGCAAUGAUGCAUAGCCGAGCUGAGAGACUGAUCGGCCACAUUGGGACUGAGACACGGCCCAAACUCCUACGGGAGGCAGCAGUAGGGAAUCUUCCGCAAUGGACGCAAGUCUGAUGGAGCAACGCCGCGUGAGUGAAGAAGGGUUUCGGCUCGUAAAGCUCUGUUGGUAGUGAAGAAAGAUAGUGGUAGUAACUGUCCUUUAUUUGACGGUAAUUACUUAGAAAGUCACGGCUAACUACGUG